rnacentral:rRNA from 1 species
GAUGAACGCUGGCGGCGUGCCUAAUACAUGCAAGUCGUGCUGGGGAAGAUCCUUCGGGAUCGGACCUAGCGGCGAACGGGUGAGUAACACGUGGGCAACCUGCCCGCAAGACGGGGAUAACUCCGGGAAACCGGUGCUAAUACCCGAUAAUCCCGGCUCCCGCAUGGGAGCGGGGUGAAAGGCGGCUUCGGCUGUCACUUGCGGAUGGGCCCGCGGCGCAUUAGCUGGUUGGUGAGGUAACGGCUCACCAAGGCGACGAUGCGUAGCCGACCUGAGAGGGUGAUCGGCCACACUGGGACUGAGACACGGCCCAGACUCCUACGGGAGGCAGCAGUAGGGAAUUUUCCGCAAUGGGCGCAAGCCUGACGGAGCAACGCCGCGUGAGUGAGGACGGCCUUCGGGUUGUAAAACUCUGUUCUUGAGGAAGAACCCUUCCGAGGCGAACAGCCUCGGAAGUUGACGGUACUCAAGGAGAAAGCCCCGGCUAACUAC